rnacentral:rRNA from 1 species
AUUGAACGCUGGCGGUAGGCCUAACACAUGCACGUCGAACGAGUGGCGGACGGGUGAUUAAUGUCUGGGAAACUGCCCGAUGGAGGGGGAUAACUCCUGGAACCGGUAGCUAAUACCGCAUACCAUCUGAUGAACCCAUAUGGGAUUAGCUAGUAGGUGGGGUAAAUGCUCACCUAGGCGACGAUCCCUAGCUGGUCUGAGAGGAUGACCAGCCACAAUGGAACUGAGACACGGUCCAGACUCCUACGGGAGGCAGCAGUGGGGAAUAUUGCACAAUGGGCGCAAGCAUGAUGCAGCCAUGCCGCGUGUAUGAAGAAGGCCUUAGGGUUGUAAAGUACUUUCAGCGAGGAGGCGUUACUCGCAGAAGAAGCACCGGCUAACUACGUGCCAGCAGCCGCGGUAAUUC